UUUUUAUGAUGAAUAAAAAAAAAUGUAAGUAGGGACAUGAGAAUAUAAAUAUGUUCAUCUUCAUUUUGUCUGAAAAAA